rnacentral:rRNA from 1 species
CCUACGGGUGGCAGCAGUAGGGAAUCUUCCACAAUGGGCGAAAGCCUGAUGGAGCAACGCCGCGUGGGUGAAGAAGGUCUUCGGAUCGUAAAACCCUGUUGUUAGAGAAGAAAGUGCGUGAGAGUAACUGUUCACGUUUCGACGGUAUCUAACCAGAAAGCCACGGCUAACUACGUGCCAGCAGCCGCGGUAAUACGUAGGUGGCAAGCGUUAUCCGGAUUUAUUGGGCGUAAGGGGAACGCAGGCGGUCUUUUAAGUCUGAUGGGAAAGCCUUCGUGUUAACCGGAGUAGUGCAUGGGAAACUGGGAGACUUGAGUGCAGAAGAGGCGAGUGGAACUCCAUGUGUAGCGGUGAAAUGCGUAGAUAUAUGGAAGAACACCAGGGGCGAAAGCGGCUCUCUGGUCUGUAACUGACGCUGAGGUUCGAAAGCGUGGGUAGCAAACAGGAUUAGAUACCCGAGUAGUC